GACGAACGCUGGCGGCGUGCUUAACACAUGCAAGUCGAACGGACAGGCCCUGAUUUUGUGGGCUGCUCGAGUGGCAACCGGGUGAGUCACACGUGUGUAAUCUGCCUUAGACUUUGGGAUAACUUCUGGUAACUGGGGCUACUACCGGAUAGGAGCUCCUGUUGCAUGGUGGGGGUUGGCAAGUUUAGGCGGUUGGGGAUGGACUCGCGGCUUAUCAGCUUGUUGGUGGGGUAGUGGCUUACCAAGGCUUUGACGGGUCGCCGGCCUGAGAGGGUGACCGGCCACAUUGGGACUGAGAUACGGCCCAGACUCCUACGGGAGGCAGCAGUGGGGAAUAUUGCACAAUAGGCGGAAGCCUGAUGCAGCAACGCCGCGUGCGGGAAGACAGCCUUCGGGUAGUAAACCGCUUUCGCCUGUGACGAAGCGUGAGUGACGGUAAUGGGUAAAGAAGCACCGGCUAACUACGUG
rnacentral:rRNA from 1 species